rnacentral:rRNA from 1 species
CCUACGGGAGGCAGCAGUGGGGGAUAUUGCACAAUGGGGGGAACCCUGAUGCAGCGACGCCGCGUGGGUGAAGAAGCGCCUCGGCGCGUAAAGCCCUGUCAGCAGGGAAGAAAAUGACGGUAACUGAAGAAGAAGCCCCGGCUAACUACGUGCCAGCCGCCGCGGUAAUACGUAGGGGGCAAGCGUUAUCCGGAUUUACUGGGUGGAAAGGGGGCGCAGACGGCGAUGCAAGCCAGGAGUGAAAGCCCGGGGCCCAACCCCGGGACUGCUCUUGGAACUGCGUGGCUGGAGUGCAGGAGGGGCAGGCGGAAUUCCUGGUGUAGCGGUGAAAUGCGUAGAUAUCAGGAGGAACACCGGUGGCGAAGGCGGCCUGCUGGACUGCAACUGACGUUGAGGCCCGAAAGCGUGGGGAGCAAACAGGAUUAGAUACCCCAGUAGUC